ACAGGGGGUUUAGUUGUAUCUGGUGUAGGGGUACAGGGGGUUUAGUUGUAUCUGGUGUAGGGGUACAGGGGGUUUAGUUGUAUCUGGUGUAGGGGUACAGGGGGUUUAGUUGUAUCUGGUGUAGGGGUACAGGGGGUUUAGUUGUAUCUGGUGUAGGGGUACAGGGGGUUUAGUUGUAUCUGGUGUAGGGGUACAGGGGGUUUAGUUGUAUCAAGUGUAGAGAGUAGGGGUACAGGGGGUUUAGUUGUCUGUGGUGUAGAGAGUAGGGGUACAGGGGGUUUAGUUGUAUCUGGUGUAGAGGGUAGGGGUACCGGGGGUUUAGUUGUAUCUGGUGUAGAGGGUAAGGGUACAGGGGGUUUAGUUGUAUCUGGUGUAGAGGGUACAGGGGGUUUAGUUGUAUCCAGUGUAGAGAGUAGGGGUACAGGGGGUUUAGUUGUAUCUGGUGUAGGGGGUAGGGGUACCGGGGGUUUAGUUGUAUCUGGUGUAGAGGGUAAGGGUACAGGGGGUUUAGUUGUAUCUGGUGUAGGGGGUUUAGUUGUCUAUGGUGUAGAGAGUAGGGGUACAGGGGGUUUAGUUGUAUCUGGUGUAGGGGUACAGGGGGUUUAGUUGUAUCUGGUGUAGGGAGUAGGGGUACAGGGGGUUUAGUUGUAUCUGGUGUAGGGGUACAGGGGGUUUAGUUGUAUCUGGUGUAGGGGUACAGGGGGUUUAGUUGUAUCUGGUGUAGAGAGUAGGGGUACAGGGGGUUUAGUUGUAUCUGGUGUAGGGGUACAGGGGUUUAGUUGUAUCUGGUGUAGAGAGUAGGGGUACAGGGGGUUUAGUUGUAUCUGGUGUAGGGGGUUUAGUUGUAUCUGGUGUAGGGGGUUUAGUUGUAUCUGGUGUAGGGGGUUUAGUUGUAUCUGGUGUAGGGGGUUUAGUUGUAUCUGGUGUAGGGGUACAGGGGCUUUAGUUGUAUCUGGUGUAGGGGUACAGGGGGAUUAGUUGUAUCCGGUGUCGGUCCGGUAGGAGGAGUGGUUGUCUGACGUCAGCCUGGUGGUCUCUGUUCCAGACGGCUGCAUCAUGAUGGGGUCCCCACCAACGUCU